rnacentral:rRNA from 1 species
UGGGGAAUUCGGACAAUGGGCGAAAGCCUGAUCCAGCCAUGCCGCGUGCAGGAUGAAGGCCUUCGGGUUGUAAACUGCUUUUGUACGGAACGAAAAGACUCUGGUUAAUACCUGGGGUCCAUGACGGUACCGUAAGAAUAAGCACCGGCUAACUACGUGCCAGCAGCCGCGGUAAUACGUAGGGUGCAAGCGUUAAUCGGAAUUACUGGGCGUAAAGCGUGCGCAGGCGGUUAUAUAAGACAGAUGUGAAAUCCCCGGGCUCAACCUGGGAACUGCAUUUGUGACUGUAUAGCUAGAGUACGGCAGAGGGGGAUGGAAUUCCGCGUGUAGCAGUGAAAUGCGUAGAUAUGCGGAGGAACACCGAUGGCGAAGGCAAUCCCCUGGGCCUGUACUGACGCUCAUGCACGAAAGCGUGGGGAGCAAACAGGAUUAGAUACCCUGGUAGUCCACGCCCUAAACGAUGUCAACUGGUUGUUGGGUCUUCACUGACUCAGUAACGAAGCUAACGCGUGAAGUUGACCGCCUGGGGAGUACGGCCGCAAGG